rnacentral:other from 1 species
UAGGCUCUGCCAUGUGCGUGUUUUGAGGCGUUAUUUUUAAGGACCUAUACUAUCAUUUUGGUAGCCCGUCUUUGCUAGUAAGCGUACUCUUCUUUAUAAGAAAAGUACAAAGCUAUCAUGGGGUAACCUACUAUAAAACACGGGUCCAAAAGAUAUCCUCUCACGGCAUUGCGGUGGAGCC